UUCUCGUUCACUUGCCUUCCAACUUUUGUUCUGCGCUUUGCUAUUUGAAGCUUGAUCAUUCGUUGGUUCUUUCUUUUCCCGCGCUUUCUGACCGCUGUGAUCUAGUAGGUAAAUGCUGUUAAUUAGCUGCUGAUGGUGAUUGCUAGGAUGGUUUGUCUUUUCAUGCUGAAUGUUGAGUAAUUAUCUGGCUCUGCGUUUCCUGAAUUCAGAUCUUCCCCCCCAAGGAAAAGCCAUUAGUAUCAAAAUUCUUGACGUCUAGAGACCGCUCAUAGUGUAGCUAGGCUGAAUUCUCUGUUUUGAACUACAUGGAAUCUGUUGAGUUUUCGUCUUCCUGGAAAGUUACUACUUGAUGACCUUAUGAUUUACCUUAGAUGAUGGAAAAAGCAACAAGAGAGGGGAAAAAUGUAAGCGUGAUUUUGGACGUGGUUGGAUCUUCAAAAUGCUGGUAAAAUUUGGUGUGUCUUAUCAAGACAUAUGGCGUCUCUUAUAUUAUGUAUUCAGGCGCAUCAUUUCAGUGUGAAGGGCCAUAACAUAUGCUUGGUGAGAAUUUAGCCUGUCCGAUCUACUUGUAUCCUUUGGGUUUCUCUUCUGGCUUAAUUAGCUUUUUUUGGAUAAGGCACUAUGGAAUAUACAUCAUGUGAGAUUCUGAAUACUGUCCACGUUCUGACAAUCAUACGAGUUAUAUGCAGAUUGAUCUAGUGAAUAGGAGGAAUGUUCUUGUAACCUUUGCAGCUCUUUCAUAACUUAUUC